rnacentral:rRNA from 1 species
UGCCAGCAGCCGCGGUAAUACGGAAGGUGCAAGCAUUGUUCGGAUUGACUGGGCGUAAAGAGCACGUAGGCGGGCUAGUAAGUCGGUUGUGAAAUCCCUGGGCUUAACCUAGGAACUGCAGCCGAAACUACAAGUCUUGAAUACCUGAGGGGUUAGUGGAAUUCCUGGUGUAGGAGUGAAAUCCGUAGAUAUCAGGAGGAACACCAGAGGCGAAAGCGGCUAACUGGCAGUGUAUUGACGCUGAGGUGCGAAAGCGUGGGGAGCAAACAGGAUUAGAUA